AUUGAACGCUGGCGGCAUGCCUUACACAUGCAAGUCGAACGGCAGCACGGGAGCAAUCCUGGUGGCGAGUGGCGAACGGGUGAGUAAAGUAUCGGAACGUGCCCAGUCGUGGGGGAUAACGUAGCGAAAGUUACGCUAAUACCGCAUACGAUCUAUGGACGAAAGCGGGGGAUCGCAAGACCUCGCGCGAUUGGAGCGGCCGAUAUCAGAUUAGGUAGUUGGUGGGGUAAAGGCUCACCAAGCCGACGAUCUGUAGCUGGUCUGAGAGGACGACCAGCCACACUGGGACUGAGACACGGCCCAGACUCCUACGGGAGGCAGCAGUGGGGAAUUUUGGACAAUGGGCGAAGGCCUGAUCCAGCCAUGCCGCGUGCAGGAUGAAGGCCUUCGGGUUGUAAACUGCUUUUGUACGGAACGAAAAGGUUUGGCCUAAUAAGCUGAGCUCAUGACGGUACCGUAAGAAUAAGCACCGGCUAACUACGUGGCAGCCGCCGCCGUAA
rnacentral:rRNA from 1 species